rnacentral:rRNA from 1 species
UACGUAGGGUGCGAGCGUUGCCCGGAUUUAUUGGGCGUAAAGGGCGCGUAGGUGGCGGGACAAGCGUGCGGUGAAAGCCUGGGGCUCAACCCCGGGUCGGCCGUGCGAACUGUUUUGCUUGAGCACUGUAGAGGCAGGCGGAAUUCCGGGUGUAGCGGUGGAAUGCGUAGAGAUCCGGAAGAACACCGGUGGCGAAGGCGGCCUGCUGGGCAGUAGCUGACACUGAGGCGCGACAGCGUGGGGAGCAAACAGG